CUCUCGAGGCCGAGGAACGCCCCGUGGCCGUGCCGUUUAACGGCGGAGCAGUUACACCUGGGACUGGGCCCACUGAAGGGUCUCGAGCACAAGUUGUAUGAGGAGCAGCUGAGGCUGCUGGGGUUGUUGGACCUGGAGGGAAGCAGGCUUAGGGGAGAUCUUAAUUAACACUCUCUACAACCACCUGAAAGGAGGUUGUGUCCGGGUUGGGUCAGACUCUGCUCCCAGUACAUCUCAUGGGACAGCAAGUCACAGGCUUAACCUGAAGAAGUGCUGAGGGGUCAUGGCCUGGAGGAAGAGAAGAGAAGAGAAGAGAAGAGAAGAGAAGAGAAGAGAAGAGAAGAGAAGAGAAGAGAAGAGAAGAGAAGAGAAGAGAAGAGAAGAGAGCUUAGGAAGUCCUGAGAGCAGGCAACUAAUUCUAGUAGUAGUACUCCUCCCAAGUCACCCAGCCCUAAGGAUCUUGGCUUUCCAGACAGCAAUACAUAUGUAAGAGAUGGGAUCCAGUUUCUAAAUAUAAAUUGAAGGCGUGUGUUCUGCAUAUAGACCACGUAAUGGAGGUGUUCCGUGUUUCAUGUUUCUGAUGGGAAAGAAACCCAGAUCCCAGAGGUGUAAAGGAUUCAUGUACAUACAGAUCUGUUAAAAAGGAUGGGGCUGUGAGGAAAACAAGGUCUACAGCCAGGGGAGGCACGAUCUGAAAGCCUUGUUGACAGAGCAGUUACCAGCAGUCUGGAUCACGGUGAGAAGGCUGCUUGCAACAUGCACUGCUAGAAGAGUAAGGCAGAUGGAAGAGGAUGCCAGUGAGCUCCCUGACCUGGCUGGGGUAUUCAAGAAAACAAAGUAUUAUUUGGAAGUUUAGGCCUAUUUAGAGUUUACUACCAACUGCAACAAGGACUUUAAUUGUAAGAUUUAGGAAGAAGAUGAAAGCAUUGCAAAUAGCUGAGGAAGUAAACUGUAUGUGUGUGAUAGGGCUCGGUGGAAAACUUGGGAGAGCACAGGCCUCAGACCAACCAGCAGGUUUUCUGUUUCUGGUGUGCUGACAAAAGUUGCACUUGUUAAUUUUUGGCAUGAAGUUUAUGGUUAAAAAUUAGUGCAUCUGAAGUUGUGCCUCAUAUUGAGGGAUGGCUUGCUGGCUGGAUUAGCACCCAAACAAACCUUUGAUGCUUUUGUCCAGGUGGUCUUUUUUGUACAGCCUGCUCCUAAUAACAAACUCUGCUGAAGACAACAGAGCUAAAAGAAGAAAAAUAUUUAGAAAGAGAAAGCUGCUUCUUCUUUUCCUAUAGACUUCAGAAUCAUAAUUCACUCUUUGAUAUUCUGCUUACUGGAAUAAUGGAUGCAGAACUGCAGAAAUGGACUUUAGAGAAAUAAAAAGUUUCUCUGAUGACUGAGAUAGCAAGAAAAAUGUAUUACCCAUAUGUGCUCACUAAUGCAGCUAUAUGAAAGCAUUCAAUGCAAAUUAAAAGGUUUCAUCAGAACAGAAAAGCUAACAGUUUAGAAGAUGGAAUACUUAAUAGGAAGUGGCAUGGGCCCAACCAUCAGUUGACAAAGGGAAUUUUGAAGUCACAAAGAUUUUAAAACAGAUUACCAUUUCAGGGUAGGAAAAAUCUUAAUCUAAAAAAAACCAAAACCAGAUGAGGUUAAAAUGCUGUUGGAACAGAAAACAUAGUGAGCAAAAUAGUGUUUCUGUGACUGCUCAGGGAGUGUGUGGGACGUUCUUGGGCUCCAAACUCAUGUAAUGAAGAAGCAAGAGUGUGUGGUACUAGUGCAGACUGAAAUAAAAGGAGUUCUGGGCCAGAUCUGAAAUGGAUUGCGUUACACUCAGGGAGGAAGGCUGGGGCCCCAGCUCCCUUGGUGGGCCAGGGGGUUGGUUCUGCAGGGGAUGCCUCAGUGCAGCACAACCUCACGGUAUAAAAGGAAGACUUCAGUUUUCUCCCUUUGCAGAGCAAUGCCUCUGGGAGCAGCCUGAGCAUAUUCCAUUUCUUUUAGGCCUAUGGAAUAGCCAUUAAAUGGUCAAUAUAAGCAUAAAAUACACCUGUCAUUUUUCAUGCUUGACUUUAAGGAAGAACCUCAGUAAAAAUCAUGCUUUGAGUUCCUAAAGAGGGAUAAAGAGAUUGGGGCUGUACUUAAAUUUCUGAUUCUCAUCUCCCUUGUGUAACCCUGCCCUGUUGGCUCAAACAUGCUAACAUAUAUUAGCCCAGACUAAAAGUGACACAGGCAAUCUAGUUUGGCAGGUUACCCUUUGCAAAUGCAAACAAGCCUUUACAAAAUGAUUUGGCGGUUAGAAUGCAAUUGGUGUAGUAUUGAAAAGAACAUCAUCAGCUUUUGAUGAAUUUUAAUUGUUACUGGAAAAUUACAUUCACAACCAAAGGAGAACAGUCAGAUUUUAUUUCCUGAGCUAAGGGCAAGGCUAUGCAAUUUAACUGUAAGUUAAUUACAAGAAGGAGUUCUCUUUCCUUCUUUCCUUCUUAACAUUUAUUAUAUUAUUUACUAUUAUAUUUUGUAUUGUUUACUAUUGUAUUUUAGAUGAUGCAUAAGAAACACAGAGUACAUUGCAUGUACUAUAAAAAGAAUCCUAAUGAAGGAUAGAUGGAAAAAGACAACAUUUGGAAGGAGCAAUAAAAAUAUUAAAGAACUAUCCAGCCAGUAUUUUAGUUUCUUCUAGCAAAGAGGCUGAAUACUCAGGAAACAACUCCCAACAGCCUAUCUUUUAUCCCCACAGUUCAUUUAGGAAGGACACAGUAGGAAGGAAUUAAAUCACACCUUAAAGUCAAAGAGUGAAUUAAAGCACUUCCAGAUUGUUCUGUUCUGUUCUCAUGAGAAUUCUCUCUUGUACACAAAUUCCUUUCCACAGCAGUUAAAGUGACCCAUCCUGUCUACAGUGUCUUUAAAUAGCAGCAUAUCAGAGAAAGAAAGGAGAAGAUGCAU